GUCCCACCCCUUUCCUCCUAGGGCGGGGCCCCGAGCUCUGAGGACUCUGCCCGGGGAGGACACCGGGCUUGCUCGGUCGCCUCGUCGCUUGCAUCCCGGGUCAUGGCGGUCCCGGGACCCACGGCCCGAGCUGGUGCCAGGCCCAGAUUAGAUCUGCAACUUGUCCAGAGGUUCGUGAGGAUACAGAAGGUUUUCUUUCCUUCUUGGUCAUCACAGAAUGUCUUAAUGUUCAUGACGCUCUUGUGCGUGACCCUCCUGGAGCAACUGGUGAUCUACCAAGUUGGCUUGAUCCCCAGUCAGUAUUAUGGAGUCUUGGGAAACAAAGACCUGGAUGGAUUUAAGGCACUGACCUUGCUGGCCGUGACACUUAUUGUCCUCAACUCCACCCUGAAGAGCUUUGACCAGUUCACCUGCAACCUGCUGUACGUGAGCUGGAGGAAGGACCUCACGGAGCACCUGCACCACCUGUACUUCCGGGCCCGCGUGUACUACACCCUCAACGUGCUGCGGGACGACAUUGAUAAUCCGGACCAGCGAAUCAGCCAGGAUGUGGAGCGAUUCUGCCGCCAGCUCAGCAGCGUGACCAGCAAGCUGAUCAUUUCCCCCUUCACUCUUACCUACUACACUUACCAGUGCUUCCAAAGCACAGGCUGGCUCGGGCCUGUGAGCAUCUUUGGAUAUUUCAUCGUGGGGACCAUGGUGAACAAAACUUUGAUGGGGCCCAUCGUGACGAAGCUGGUGCAGCAGGAGAAGCUGGAGGGGGAUUUUAGGUUCAAGCACAUGCAGAUUCGAGUGAAUGCAGAGCCUGCGGCUUUCUAUAGAGCUGGGCUCGUCGAGCACAUGAGGACAGACCGCAGGCUGCAGAGACUCCUUCAGACCCAGAGAGAGCUGAUGUCCAGGGAGCUCUGGCUGUACAUUGGUAUCAACACCUUUGACUAUCUGGGCAGCAUCCUGAGUUAUGUCGUCAUCGCUAUCCCCAUUUUCAGUGGGGUCUAUGGAGAUUUGAGCCCCACAGAGCUUAGCACCCUGGUCAGCAAGAAUGCCUUUGUGUGCAUCUACCUCAUCAGCUGCUUCACCCAGCUCAUUGACCUGUCCACCACACUCUCGGAUGUUGCCGGUUACACACACAGGAUUGGAGAGCUUCAGGAGGCCCUGCUGGACAUGUCCCGAAAAUCACAAGACUGUGAAGCCCUAGGCGAGAGUGAGUGGGACUUGGACAAAACCCCAGGGUGUCCAACAACAGAGCCAUCAGACACAGCUUUUCUGCUCGAUCGGGUUUCCAUAUUGGCCCCCUCCUCUGACAAGCCCCUGAUCAAGGACUUGAGCUUGAAGAUCUGUGAGGGGCAGAGUCUGCUCAUCACAGGCAACACGGGCACUGGCAAGACCUCCCUGCUGCGGGUGCUGGGAGGCCUGUGGGAGGGCAUGAAAGGCUCAGUGCAGAUGCUGGCUGAUUUUGGGCCCCACGGGGUGCUGUUCCUGCCUCAGAAGCCAUUCUUCACUGAUGGGACACUUCGGGAGCAGGUGAUAUAUCCCCUGAAGGAGAUCUACCCUGACUCAGGUUCUGCGGACGAUGAGAGGAUUGUGAGGUUCUUGGAAUUGGCAGGCCUGUCCAGCUUGGUGGCAAGGACUGGAGGUCUGGACCAGCAGGUGGAUUGGAACUGGUAUGAUGUCCUGUCCCCAGGGGAGAUGCAAAGACUCUCCUUCGCCCGUCUCUUCUACCUGCAGCCCAAGUAUGCAGGCAGCUGUGAGAUCUGAGCCAGGCUCACAGGUGUGAUCUCUAUCUUGGCGUGACUCUCCUGUCAGUCCACCACAUCCCAGGGUGAAUGGGUUGGAGGAGUGACAGAGAGGGCAAGGGCAGUCUGUGAUCUCUCGCCACCACAUGCUGCUCGUCAGUGCUCGAUGAAGCCACCAGUGCCCUGACAGAGGAAGCAGAGAGUGAGCUCUACCGAAUUGGUCAGCAACUGGGGAUGACAUUUAUCAGCGUGGGACAUCGUCCCAGCCUUGAGAAGUUUCACUCCUGGGUUCUGAGACUCCACGGAGGAGGAAGCUGGGAGCUGACUAGAAUCAAACUGGAAUGAAGGCAAGCAUGCAGGUUCAUCUGAGCAGCGGAGCUCCGGGGCCUGCGGUGCCCACAGACAAGGAAGCCCGAUGAGCCGGGAAGGAGCCACAGAUUCACCUGAGGUCCUACACAGGAGCCCUAGCAGCCUCUAGCCCUGCCCACGGGUGGCGCUACAGGGAACACUGAGUCUCCCCAGCGCUGCUCCCAUGACUUCUUACUUCAGAUGACGUUUGCUGCUGAAAAACGGAAUGAACUGUAAGACGUGAAGGGCCAGGGUGAGAAAACUAUCGGACUCAAGAACUGGUGAUGCCGGGCGGCGGCGCACGCCUUUAAUCCCAGCACUUGGGAGGCAGAGGCAGGCGGAUUUCUGAGUUCGAAGCCAGCCUGGUCUACAGAGUGAGUUCCAGGACAGCCAGGGCUAUACAGAGAAACCCUGUCUCGAAAAAAAAAAAAAAAAGAAAGAAAAAGAAAACUGGUGACAUUUCACAAUGAUAGCCUUUUAAAAAAAACUUUAAUAACCAUUUAAAAUUUAUAACUUUUUAAAAAAGAAUAAAUAUUAAAAAUAUGGUUUUUCUUCUACAAUAGACUGAUUUUUUUAUUUAAAGAUUUUUAUUUAUUUAUUAUAUGUAAGUACACUGUAGCUGUCUUCAGAAACUUUUUUUUUUCUUUUCUCUCUGGUCCUGCUUGCUCUGGCCCAAAGAUUUAUUUAUUUAUUAUAUUACACUGUACACUGUAGCUGUCUUCAGACACACCAGAAGAGGGCAUCAGAUCCCAGGACAGAUGGUUGUGAGCCAUCAUGCGGGUGCUGGGAAUUGAACUCAGGAGCAGGGACUGCUCUCUCUCCAGCCCCUAGAGUGAUCUUUUUUAUAGCAUCUCUACACUUGUCCUCUAGGGUUUGAGGCACACUCGUGCCCUAUACCUGCUGUGCUUUUCCACUCAAUCUGUGUCCCUCCUGUCCACCCAAUGGCCUGGAGACAGCGGGUGUGGCCAGUGCCAAGACCACCGUCUCUUGGGAUCCUCUGUCUUUAUCUUUUGUUCGUCUGUUUCAUUACUGCGGAUUGAACCUAGGGCCUUAUGAACCCUACGCGGCUGUGAUACCACUGAUACACAUCUUUAUUAUCUAAUUCAAGAAAAUUAUCCCUUCCCCCCUUACUAGCUAAAAUAAGGUUGGUAGAUGUCUUCUUUUGUUUUCCCCACCCCCACCCCAAAAUCUGUAUUAGGAACAAGAAAAAAAAAAAAAACUAAGCCAA